UUUAAUUGAAGGCUAGUAUGAAUGGAUAAAUGAGGAUCAUGCUGUCUCUCCAGUAAAAAUAUAAAUUAAUUUUUAGGUGAAGAAGCCUAAAUAAUAAUAAAAGACAAGAAGACCCUAUUGAGCUUUACUCAUAAUGCUUUUUAUAAAAGUAUUAUACACAAAAAACAAGCAAAUGAGUUUGGUUGGGGCGACAAAGGAACAGUAAAACCUUCCUCUUAUGAGUAGACCUACUAGUCAAUUAAUGAUCCGAUUUCUUCGACCAUAGGAACAAGCUACCAUAGGGAUAACAGGCUAAUUCUUCUAAAGAGCCCACAUUGAUAGAAGAGUUUGGCACCUCGAUGUUGGCUUAGAAUUACCCCUAGAUGCAGCAGUCUAGGAAGGUUGGUUUGUUCAACCA
rnacentral:rRNA from 1 species